AUAGUGACAAUAGGAGCAAUAGGGUUACAGGUUAAUUCUAGUUAAGAUUAGCUACAAGUUAGUACAACUUUUGUGUCAAUAAAGAGGAAUAUUGUAAUUUAUCACACGUUUCUUACGCGAAAUUACGAUUAAACAUUGAAUUAUUAUUGUGUGUGUAUAAACAAUUUUAAGUAAACAUGGAUGACAAACUUCGACAAAUGGAAGAUGAGAUGAACAGAUUUGAAGCUGAGAUUGGAGGACAACUCGUAACACCAAUUGUAAGACCAGUAAUUGGCGCAAAUACAUAUAAUCAAGUUGCUAGACAAUUGGAACAACAUGAACUUCCUACGCCGGUAGUUGCGGCAGCUGCGGCGGCAACUUUAGCAUUUCCUCCAAUGAUUGGUUUUCCACCACCUCCACCACCUCCACCUCCUCCACCACCACCACCAAUGUUGAUUCCUCAACAAGUAGCGAGACAAGGUACAGUUCCUAUUACGACGUAUUCUUCACCUGCACAGAUAAGUAAUCCCUACAUGUCAAAUAUGGUGGAUCCUUGUUUAAGUGCAACUCCAAAAACAUACGAUUCCAAUCAAACGCCAAUGAUACAUCCAGAAAUUAUUGAGCAAAUUAUAAAUACAAAAAUUCCCGAAGAUGAGGGAAAAAAGAAACCAAAGGUUAAGGGUGUAAGCACCGCGGCCGAAUUAGCUAUUAGUCAGGGAAAGGCGAGUUCCAUCAUGGCCAAUGCCAGUGCAGAAGAGAGCCAUCCCAAGGGUAAAGGAAAAAAAAAUAAAAAAAUUAUACGCACAGCUGGUGGUCAAACGUGGGAGGAUCCAUCUCUGUUGGAAUGGGACGAAGAUGAUUUCAGGAUAUUUUGCGGAGAUCUAGGAAAUGACGUCACUGACGAACUAUUGGUCAGGGUAUUUGGCAAAUAUCCCAGUUUUCAAAAAGCAAAGGUGGUCAGAGACAAACGGACAAAUAAAACCAAAGGAUUCGGAUUUGUGUCUUUCAAAGAUCCACAAGAUUUCAUCAAAGCAAUGAAAGAAAUGAAUGAUAUGUAGGAAACUUCCAUGUACGAUGCGCUUGCAUAUGCGGAUGAAUGUAAGCCGGCGGUUCCCCUCUACCCCGUUUGUUACGGUUUUGUAAUCGUCUAUCAUUCCGGAGUGGUGACUUUUGUCGACAAGCAACACCACGUUACUCGUAUAGGCACACACGCUCACGCAUCCGUGCGCGAUACUGCGUUGUACAAGCGUUAAAGUGAGGCCUACGAUAGAAGAGAGAAGAACAUUGUUUUUUCAAUGAUCACGUCUGAAACGACCGAAAAAAAAAAAAAAUUGGAAUUGGCCACACGAGAUAUUGCCACGUUUACGGAUACGAGAGCUGUGUUUUCCAUACUGAUCCAAGAAAUAUCAACGAGAAACGUAAUAAGAAAUAAUAAUUGUCGUUAGUCAUACAAAAAAAACUCAUUUGCGUGAGAAAAUCUCGUACUGUGAAAUAUUAGAAAAAAAAACCCCAAAAAUGUCAUGCAAUAUAAUAAUUGCGCCAGUAUGACCGGCGCGAGAUACGCAGAAAAAUGUCAGGACGUUACGUGGGGUCGCGUCCGAUAAAACUUCGAAAGAGCUCCUGGAAGCAGAGAAAUCUGGAGACCGUGCGCAAGAAAGAGAAG